GCUUCACUAGCUCAGUUGGCAGAGCGUCAGUCUCAUAAUCUGAAGGUCGACAGUUCGAGCCUGCCGUGGAGCA
rnacentral:tRNA from 1 species